GGCCAAAUGGUGCAGUUGGGUAGCACUCGCGGGUUGCGUUGAGAACAACUUCAUGGACCUACUCGCCGCAGGACCUCCGUUCGAUUCGGGGUUCAGCCU